UGCAGUGACAACCAGGAUGUUGGCUUAGAAGCAGCCACCAUUUAAAAAGUGCGUAACAGCUUACUGGUCGAGCAGAUCUGCGCCGAUAAUGAACGGGAGUAAGCAUGACACCGAAGCAGUAGAUUUAUGGUAGGAGAGCGCCGCUGAGAAGAUACAAGCCAUACCGAAAGGAGUGGUGUCGGUCUCAGCGGGUGAUUAUGCCGGAAUGAGUAACGAUAAAACAGGUGAGAAUCCUGUUCGCCGCAAACCUAAGGUUUCCUGGGGAAGGUAAUUCCGCCCAGGGUUAGCCGGUGCCUUAGUUGAGGCCGAAAGGCGUAGACGAUGGAUAGCAGGUUAAUAUUCCUGCGCCGGAUA
rnacentral:rRNA from 14 species